rnacentral:rRNA from 1 species
CACGUAGGGCGCGAGCGUUGUCCGGAAUUAUUGGGCGUAAAGAGCUCGUAGGCGGCCUGUUGCGUCCGCUGUGAAAGCCCGGGGCUUAACCCCGGGUCUGCAGUGGAUACGGGCAGGCUAGAGGUAGGUAGGGGAGAAUGGAAUUCCCGGUGUAGCGGUGAAAUGCGCAGAUAUCAGGAGGAACACCGGUGGCGAAGGCGGGUCUCUGGGCAGUAACUGACGCUGAGGAGCGAAAGCGUGGGGAGCGAACAGG